rnacentral:rRNA from 1 species
AUACAAGUCGAACGGUAACAUUUCUAGCUUGCUAGAAGAUGACGAGUGGCGGACGGGUGAGUAAUGCUUGGGAACUUGCCUUUACGAGGGGGAUAACAGUUGGAAACGACUGCUAAUACCGCAUAAUGUCUUCGGACCAAACGGGGCUUCGGCUCCGGCGCAAAGAGAGGCCCAAGUGAGAUUAGCUAGUUGGUAAGGUAACGGCUUACCAAGGCGACGAUCUCUAGCUGUUCUGAGAGGAAGAUCAGCCACACUGGGACUGAGACACGGCCCAGACUCCUACGGGAGGCAGCAGUGGGGAAUAUUGCACAAUGGGGGAAACCCUGAUGCAGCCAUGCCGCGUGUGUGAAGAAGGCCUUCGGGUUGUAAAGCACUUUCAGUUGUGAGGAAAAGUUAGUAGUUAAUACCUGCUAGCCGUGACGUUAACAACAGAAGAAGCACCGGCUAACUCCGUGCCAGCAGCCGCGGUAAUACGGAGGGUGCGAGCGUUAAUCGGAAUUACUGGGCGUAAAGCGCACGCAGGCGGUUUGUUAAGCUAGAUGUGAAAGCCCCGGGCUCAACCUGGGAUGGUCAUU